rnacentral:rRNA from 1 species
GACGUAGGGCGCGAGCGUUGUCCGGAUUUAUUGGGCGUAAAGAGCUCGUAGGCGGCUUGUUGCGUCAGCUGUGAAAACCCGCAGCUCAACUGUGGGCUUGCAGCUGAUACGGGCAGACUAGAGUGCGGUAGGGGAGACUGGAAUUCCUGGUGUAGCGGUGGAAUGCGCAGAUAUCAGGAGGAACACCGAUGGCGAAGGCGGCCCACUGGAUCGGUACUGACGCUGAGGUGCGAAAGCGUGGGGAGCAAACAGG